rnacentral:misc_RNA from 1 species
GAUGAAGAACGCAGCGAAAUGCGAAAAGUAGUGUGAAUUGCAGAAUUCAGUGAAUCAUCGAAUCUUUGAACGCACAUUGCGCCCGCCAGUAUUCUGGCGGGCAUGCCUGUUCGAGCGUCAUUUCAACCAUCAAGCCCCCGGCUUGUGUUGGGGACCUGCGGCUGCCGCAGGCCCUGAAAAGCAGUGGCGGGCUCGCUGUCACACCGAGCGUAGUAGCAUACAUCUCGCUCUGGGCGUGCUGCGGGUUCCGGCCGUUAAACCACCUUCAUAACCCAAGGUUGACCUCGGAUCAGGUAGGAAGACCCGCUGAACUUAAGCAUAUCAAUAAGCGGAGGA